UACAGAGGUCUCAAGCGUUGUUCGGAUUCAUUGGGCGUAAAGGGUGCGCAGGUGGCGCGGCAAGUCGGAUGUGAAAUCCCGGGGCUCAACCCCGGAACUGCAUUCGAUACUGCCGUGCUAGAGUGCUGGAGAGGAGAUUGGAAUUUACGGUGUAGCAGUGAAAUGCGUAGAUAUCGUAAGGAAGACCAGUGGCGAAGGCGGAUCUCUGGACAGCUACUGACA
rnacentral:rRNA from 1 species